AACGAACGCUGGCGGCAGGCUUAACACAUGCAAGUCGAACGCAUCGCAAGAUGAGUGGCAGACGGGUGAGUAACGCGUGGGAACAUACCCUUUUCUACGGAAUAGCUCUGGGAAACUGGAAUUAAUACCGUAUACGCCCUACGGGGGAAAGAUUUAUCGGGGAAGGAUUGGCCCGCGUUGGAUUAGCUAGUUGGUGGGGUAAAGGCCUACCAAGGCGACGAUCCAUAGCUGGUCUGAGAGGAUGAUCAGCCACAUUGGGACUGAAACACGGCCAAAACUCCUACGGGAGGCAGCAGUGGGGAAUAUUGGACAAUGGGCGCAAGCCUGAUCCAGCCAUGCCGCGUGAGUGAUGAAGGCCUUAGGGUUGUAAAGCUCUUUCACCGAUGAAGAUAAUGACGGUAGUCGGAGAAGAAGCCCCGGCUAACUUCGUGCCAGCAGCCGCCGUAAGAC
rnacentral:rRNA from 1 species